rnacentral:snRNA from 1 species
AUACUUACCUGGCAGAGGAGAUACCAUGAUCACGAAGGUGGCUUAUCCAUUGCACGCCGGAUGUGCUGACCCCUGCGAUUUCCCCAAAUGUGGGAAACUCCACUGCAUAAUUUGUGGUAGUGGGGGACUGUGUUCAUGCUUUCCCCUG